rnacentral:misc_RNA from 1 species
GAAAUGCGAUAAGUAAUGUGAAUUGCAGAAUUCAGUGAAUCAUCGAAUCUUUGAACGCACACUGCGCCCGCCAGUAUUCUGGCGGGCAUGCCUGUCCGAGCGUCAUUUCAACCAUCAAGCCCCCGGGCUUGUGUUGGGGACCUGCGGCUGCCCGCAGGCCCUGAAAACCAGUGGCGGGCUCGCUGUCACACCGAGCGUAGUAGCAAUCACCUCGCUCAGGGCGUGCUGCGGGUUCCGGCCGUUAAACAGCCUUACAAAACCCAAGGUUGACCUCGGAUCAGGUAGGAAGACCCGCUGAACUUAAGC